GACGUAGGAUGCAAGCGUUGUCCGGAUUUAUUGGGCGUAAAGAGUUCGUAGGUGGUUCGUUAAGUCUGAUGUUAAAGACCGGGGCUCAACUUCGGGACUGCAUUGGAUACUGGCGGACUUGAGUGUGGUAGAGGCAAUCGGAAUUCCAGGUGUAGCGGUGAAAUGCGUAGAUAUCUGGAAGAACACCGGUGGCGCAAGCGGAUUGCUGGGCCAUAACUGACACUGAGGAACGAAAGCUAGGGGAGCAAACAGG
rnacentral:rRNA from 1 species